rnacentral:rRNA from 1 species
UACGGAGGGGGCUAGCGUUGUUCGGAAUUACUGGGCGUAAAGCGCACGUAGGCGGCUUGUAAGUUAGAGGUGAAAGCCUGGUGCUCAACACCAGAACUGCCUUUAAGACUGCAUCGCUUGAAUCAUGGAGAGGCGGGUGGAAUUCCGAGUGUAGAGGUGAAAUUCGUAGAUAUUCGGAAGAACACCAGUGGCGAAGGCGGCCCGCUGGACAUGUAUUGACGCUGAGGUGCGAAAGCGUGGGAGCAAACAGG